rnacentral:rRNA from 1 species
AGUGAACGCUGGCGGUAGGCCUAACACAUGCAAGUCGAACGGCAGCACAGUAAGAGCUUGCUCUUACGGGUGGCGAGUGGCGGACGGGUGAGGAAUACAUCGGAAUCUACUUUUUCGUGGGGGAUAACGUAGGGAAACUUACGCUAAUACCGCAUACGACCUACGGGUGAAAGCAGGGGAUCUUCGGACCUUGCGCGAUUGAAUGAGCCGAUGUCGGAUUAGCUAGUUGGCGGGGUAAAGGCCCACCAAGGCGACGAUCCGUAGCUGGUCUGAGAGGAUGAACAGGCAAACCGGGACUGGAGCACCGUCCAAGAUCCUAAGGGAAGGCGGAGGUGGGGAAAUUGGGCAAAGGGGGGCAACCCGGACCCAGCCUACCGGGGUGGUUGAAGAAGGCUUUCGGUUGGUAAAGCCUUUUUGUUGGGAAAAAAAGCAGCAGGUUAAUACCCCGCUGUUCUGACGGUACCCAAAGAAUAAGCACCGGCUAACUUCGUG